AAAAAAGAUAAACCUGGGUUUCCGUAUCCAACAUUUGAUUAUCCGUCUUAUAUGAAUUUUUUUAUAAUUAGUAUUUUUAUUGUUGUUAGGUGGUAAAACAUGAUUAAUACUUUAUAUGUGACUUGUCUUUUUGAUUUUUUCAAAUAAGACGGAUGGUCAAACGUUGGACACGGAAACUCAGAGUU
rnacentral:pre_miRNA from 1 species